GGAGGGUGCAAGCGUUAAUCGGAAUUACUGGGCGUAAAGCGAGUGUAGGCGGCUGCAUAAGUCGGAUGUGAAAGCCCUGGGCUUAACCUGGGAAUGGCAUUCGAUACUGUGCAGCUAGAGUCUGAUAGAGGGAAGUGGAAUUCCGGGUGUAGCGGUGAAAUGCGUAGAGAUCCGGAGGAACACCAGUGGCGAAGGCGGCUUCCUGGAUUAAGACUGACGCUGAGGCUCGAAAGCGUGGGGGAGCAAACAGGAUUAGAUACCCUGGUAGUCCACGCCCUAAACGAUGUCAACUAGACGUUGGGCUCAUUUCGGAGUCUAGUGUCGAAGCUAACGCGUUAAGUUGACCGCCUGGGAGUACGGCCGCAAGGUUG
rnacentral:rRNA from 1 species